AUUGAACGCUGGCGGCAGGCCUAACACAUGCAAGUCGAACGAGUGGCGGACGGGUGAGCAAUGUCCGGGAAACUGCCCGAUGGAGGGGGAUAACUACCGGAAACGGUAGCUAAUACCGCAUACCAUCGGAUGUGCCCAGAUGGGAUUAGCUAGUAGGUGGGGUAACGGCUCACCUAGGCGACGAUCCCUAGCUGGUCUGAGAGGGUGACCAGCCACACUGGAACUGGGACGCGGGCCAGACUCCUACGGGAGGCAGCAGUGGGGAAUAAUGCACAAUGGGCGCAAGCCUGAUGCGGCCGUGCCGCGUAGAUGAAGAAGGCCUUCGGGUUGUAAAGUACUUUCAGCGAGGAGGCGUUACUCGCAGAAGAAGCACCGGCUAACACCGUGCCAGCCGCCGCGGUAAUAC
rnacentral:rRNA from 1 species